rnacentral:rRNA from 1 species
GACGAACGCUGGCGGCGUGCCUAAUACAUGCAAGUAGAACGCUGAAGGAGGAGCUUGCUUCUCUGGAUGAGUUGCGAACGGGUGAGUAACGCGUAGGUAACCUGCCUGGUAGCGGGGGAUAACUAUUGGAAACGAUAGCUAAUACCGCAUAAGAGUAGAUGUUGCAUGACAUUUGCUUAAAAGGUGCAAUUGCAUCACUACCAGAUGGACCUGCGUUGUAUUAGCUAGUUGGUGAGGUAACGGCUCACCAAGGCAACGAUACAUAGCCGACCUGAGAGGGUGACCGGCCACACUGGGACUGAGACACGGCCCAGACUCCUACGGGAGGCAGCAGUAGGGAAUCUUCGGCAAUGGACGGAAGUCUGACCGAGCAACGCCGCGUGAGUGAAGAAGGUUUUCGGAUCGUAAAGCUCUGUUGUAAGAGAAGAACGAGUGUGAGAGUGGAAAGUUCACACUGUGACGGUAUCUUACCAGAAAGGGACGGCUAACUACGUG